GUGAGGAAUUUUCCGCAAUGGGCGAAAGCCUGACGGAGCAAUGCCGCGUGAAGGAUGAAGGCCUAUGGGUUGUAAACUUCUUUUCUCAGAAAAGAAUUAUGACGGUAUCUGAGGAAUAAGCAUCGGCUAACUCUGUGCCAGCAGCCGCGGUAAGACAGAGGAUGCAAGCGUUAUCCGGAAUGAUUGGGCGUAAAGCGUCUGUAGGUUGUUUAAAAAGUAUUCUGUCAAAGAUUAGGGCUUAACCCUAGAUAGGCAGAAUAAACUUUUAAGCUAGAGUUUGGUAGAGGCAGAGGGAAUUCCCGGUGGAGCGGUGAAAUGCGUAGAUAUUGGGAGGAACACCAAAGGCGAAGGCACUCUGCUGGGCCAAUACUAACACUGAGAGACGAAAGCGAGGGGAGCAAAUGGGAUUAGAAACCCGGGUAGUCC
rnacentral:rRNA from 1 species